AACAGAUCCUGCUCGCGAACUUUGAUCGUCUUCGAAAUCAGAACUGAAGUUAAUCUCCUGUGGUUUCAAUAUUUCCAUUGUUUUUUCUUUUUUUUUUUUUCCUUUUUCUUGUCUCGGAAGUCAAAAUCACUUGAAGAAGAUUCUCAAAUUCCACAUCAAUGCCGAGCGAUAAUCAUAGCUUGUUGAAAACGAUUUGGUGUGGUGGACGUCUGUCAUAUGAUGUGAAAUUUUCUCACCGAGCUUUGAUGAACAAUGGCGGAUUAUGUCGGGACGAACAAUGGAAUUCAGAUUUGCUGUUGCCAAUGGAGUUGAUGAAUAUGUUAAUCGAAAUCGAGAAAGUUGGGGAACAAUCGUGUUGCUGGUGCUGCAAUAUCGUGUCCAUAUCUGGUGGAUGUUUCCUGGCAUCUCGUCGUCAAGGAGCCAAUUCUUCGACAAUCGGAGUUGAUAAGCGAACAGCAUAUAGUUUGCGAUUAAGAAACAGCAACUGUGAGAUGAGAUGACUGGUAAGGAAGCUGGAUUCAACUUUUAAUGAUCUCUUCCCGUUUGAGUUUGACAGGCGGUUCUUUGAGAAAUUCAGGACCUUCCUCACGUAUGGCUGUGUGGUUUGCAUGUACAAAGACGUUAUCGGUGUUUUUGCC